rnacentral:rRNA from 1 species
CUUCGGUAUCCGCGUUGUAACCUCGAGACACGUUUUCCGUGCGGCGCUAUGGACAAGUUCCUUGGAACAGGACAUCGUAGAGGGUGAAAAUCCCGUACUUGCCAUGGAUGUACCGUGCUUUGCGAUACGUGCUCUAAGAGUCGAGUUGUUUGGGAUUGCAGCUCAAAAUGGGUGGUAGACUCCAUCUAAAGCUAAAUAUCGGGGAGAGACCGAUAGCGAACAAGUACCGUGAGGGAAAGAUGAAAAGCACUUUGGAAAGAGAGUUAAAAGUACGUGAAAUUGUCGAAAGGGAAGCGCUUGAAGUCAGCCAUGCCGCUCAGGACUCAGCCUGGCUUUUGCUUGGUGUAUUUCCUGGGUAGCAAGUCAGCAUUGGUUUGGAUCGUCGGAGAAGCAUAGUCGGAAUGUGGCGCCCUCGGGCGUGUUAUAGCCUUCUAUUGGAUACAACGAUCUAGACCAAGGAACGCAGCGCGCCUUAUGGC